GGAAGUAAAAGUCGUAACAAGGUUUCCGUAGGUGAACCUGCGGAAGGAUCAUUAAUAAAUGGUCUACGUUUUUAAGUAGACGCUUAAUAAUCCUACCCUUUGUGAAUUUGUUUGUUUGAAAUAAUUUUUUUUAAAAUUAUUGAAUGUCUUUCCCUGUUGAAUUGGUUGUCUUUAAUGGCAAGUGAUUCGCAGGGGAGUGUCAAUAAUUUUUAAAAAGACCUUUUUUAAAAUUAAACUUUUUGUAUUCAUUUGUCUAAAAAUUAUUUUUAUAAUAUAAAAACAACUUUUGACAAUGGAUCUCUUGGUUCUCGCAACGAUGAAGAACGCAGCAAAAUGCGAUAAGUAGUGUGAAUUGCAGAAUACGUGAAUCAUCGAAUCUUCGAACGCAUAUUGCACUUUUUUAGUUGCUAAAAAAGUAUGUCUGUUUGAGUAUCAGUAAAAUAUUCUCAUAAAAAACAUUGUUUUUUAUGGUUAUGAGUGUUUUACAACGAUACAAGUUGUUUCACUUUAAAUUUUUUUAAAAUUUGAAUUUUUCUAAUUUUAAAAUAAAAUUGGAUAAAAUUUUCCCGUAAAAAGGAAUAACCUAAACAAUUUUAAUUUUUGAUUAGAAUUCUUCAUUCUAAAGGAAAAUUUAACUAAAUAACUUGAUCUCAAAUCAGAUAAGAGUACCGCUGAACUUAAGCAUAUCAAUAAGCGGAGGAAAAGAAACUAACAAGGAUUCCCUUAGUAACGGCGAGUGAAGCGGGAAGAGCUCAAAUUUGAAAUCUCAAGGUUUUACCUUGACGAAUUGUAGUUUAAAGAAGUGUUUCUGUUGAAGUUUUGGUAAAAGUUCUUUGGAAUAGGACAUCAUAGAGGUGAGAAUCCCGUAUUUGACCAUUAUUUUCAGCUGUGUGAUACACUUUCAAAGAGUCGGAUUGUUUGGGAAUGCAGUCCAAAAUGGGUGGUAAAUUUCAUCUAAAGCUAAUAUUGGCGAGAGACCGAUAGCGAACAAGUACCGUGAGGGAAAGAUGAAAAGAACUUUGAAAAGAGAGUUAAACAGUACGUGAAAUUGUCAAAAGGGAAGCGUUUGACACCAGUGUUGUUUUCUCGAAAAUCAAUUAAAAAGAGUUGGAUUUUGUGUUGUAUUGACCUUAACAGCUUGCUUCACUCUUUUCCAGCUUUUUUUAAUGCACUUUUCGUUUAACAAGUCAACAUCAGUUUCUUUUGUUGUAAAAGGGUCAUUGGAAGGUGGCUUUCUCUUCGGAGAAAGUGUUUAUAGCCUUUGAUCUCUGCAAUCGGAGAGACUGAGGUCUGCAGCGUAGAUCCUUCGGGUUAGAUACAUUUGUGCUAAGCUACAGCUUUUCAUAGACAACUUGUUGACUAUGUUUAGUCUUGUGACUUACCCGCUUAUGCUAUUUUACCUACGCUUA
rnacentral:misc_RNA from 1 species